ACCUCACCAUCUCUUGCUAAUUCAGCCUAUAUACCGCCAUCUUCAGCAAACCCUAAAAAGGAAGAAAAGUAAGCACAAGUAUCUUAACAUAAAAAAGUUAGGUCAAGGUGUAGCCCAUGAGAUGGGGAAGUAAUGGGCUACAUUUUCUACAACUAGAACAUCCACGAAAAUCCUUAUGAAAUUAAGUAUUAAAGGAGGAUUUAGUAGUAAAUUCGAGAAUAGAGAGCUCGAUUGAAUCGGGCCAUGAAGCACGCACACACCGCCCGUCACCCUCCUCAAGUGAUUAGACCCCAAAGAAACCUAUUCAAACCACUACACCCACAAGAGGAGACAAGUCGUAACAAGGUAAGCAUACUGGAAAGUGUGCUUGGAUAACAAGAUGUAGCUUAAACAAAGCAUCUGGCCUACACCCAGAAGAUUUCAUAUUAAACUGACCAUCUUGAGCUAGAGCUAGCCCAACUACCCAUAAACACAACUAACAUUAGAAAGUAAAACAAAACAUUUAGUUACUCUAAAAAGUAUAGGAGAUAGAAAU
rnacentral:rRNA from 1 species